GAAAUUCCUUGUCGGGUAAGUUCCGACCUGCACGAAUGGCGUAACGAUUUGAGCACUGUCUCAACGAGAGACUCGGCGAAAUUAUAUUGUCAGUGAAGAUGCUGACUACCCGCAUCAAGACGGAAAGACCCCGUGAACCUUUACUGUAGCCUGGCAUGGAAUUCUGGUUUGUUCUGUGCAGGAUAGGUGGGAGACUUUGAGGCCUGGGCGCUAGUUCAGGCGGAGUCGAUGUUGAGAUACCACCCUGAAUGUACUGGGAUUCUAACCUUGUGCCAUUAUCUGGACAAGAGACAGUGUCAGGUGGGCAGUUUGACUGGGGCGGUCGCCUCCUAAAAGGUAACGGAGGCGUCCAAAGGUUCCCUCAGAACGGAUGGCAAUCGUUCGUAGAGUACAAGGGCAUAAGGGAGCUUGACUGCGAGAUAUACAAAUCAAGCAGGGACGAAAGUCGGGCCUAGUGAUCCGGCGGCUCAACGUGGAAUGGCCGUCGCUCAACGGAUAAAAGGUACUCCGGGGAUAACAGGCUUAUCUUCUCCAAGAGUCCACAUCGACGAGAAGGUUUGGCACCUCGAUGUCGGCUCGUCGCAUCCUGGGGCUGAAGUAGGUCCCAAGGGUUUGGCUGUUCGCCAAUUAAAGCGGUACGCGAGCUGGGUUUAGAACGUCGUGAGACAGUUCGGUCCCUAUCUGAUGUGGGCGCAGGAUACUUGAGAGGAGUCGUUCUUAGUACGAGAGGACCGGAACGAACAGACCUCUGGUGUGCCAGUUGUUCUGCCAAGGGCACUGCUGGUUAGCUACGUCUGGAUGUGAUAAGCGCUGAAAGCAUAUAAGCGCGAAACACACCUCAAGAUUAGGUAUCCCAUCCGUUAUGGAGUAAGAUCCCACGCAGAUUACGUGGUUGAUAGGCCGGAGGUGGAAGUGCAGCAAUGCAUGCAGCCGACCGGUACUAAUAGAUCGAGGACUUAUUCUC
rnacentral:ncRNA from 1 species